UACGUAGGGUGCAAGCGUUGUCCGGAUUUAUUGGGCGUAAAGCGCGCGCAGGCGGUCUUUUAAGUCUGAUGUGAAAGCCCACGGCUCAACCGUGGAGGGUCAUUGGAAACUGGGGGACUUGAGUGCAGAAGAGGAAAGCGGAAUUCCACGUGUAGCGGUGAAAUGCGUAGAGAUGUGGAGGAACACCAGUGGCGAAGGCGGCUUUCUGGUCUGUAACUGACGCUGAGGCGCGAAAGCGUGGGGAGCAAACAGG
rnacentral:rRNA from 1 species